GAUCAUGGCUCAGGACGAACGCUGGCGGCAUGCCUAACACAUGCAAGUCGAACGGAGUAAUGACUUCGGUUAUUACUUAGUGGCGAACGGGUGAGUAACACGUGAAUAAUCUGCCCUGUACGAUGGGAUAACAGCUGGAAACGGCUGCUAAUACCGUAUAUGACCACGCCGAGGCAUCUCGGAGGGGUGAAAGCGCUUAAGCGGUACAGGAUGAGUUCGCGUCCAAUUAGCUAGUUGGUGAGGUAACGGCCCACCAAGGCGACGAUUGGUAGCCGACCUGAGAGGGUGAUCGGCCACACUGGAACUGAGACACGGUCCAGACUCCUACGGGAGGCAGCAGUGGGGAAUAUUGGGCAAUGGAGGAAACUCUUACCCAAGCAAUGCCGCGUGAGUGAUGAAGGUCUUCGGAUUGUAAAGCUCUUUGAUUGGGGACGAAUAAAUGACGGUACCCAAGGAACAAGCCCCGGCUAACUAUGUGCCAGCAGCGGC
rnacentral:rRNA from 1 species